rnacentral:ribozyme from 1 species
CUCUGAGCCUUGACUCCACCGUCAUCGGUAAGUGGGGACAGAGAACGCACGAGCUAGGAUAAAAGGAGGCAAAUGGGAACUGGUUGGCUCAGGCUGGCUGGUUGGGGGAUGAAGAAGAGGACAAAGAAAGUGUGAAACAAGAGAAGAGGAGAGAAGAGAAAAAAGAAAGGACAG